AUUGAACGCUGGCGGCAGGCCUAACACAUGCAAGUCGAGCGGAUGAAGGGAGCUUGCUCCUGGAUUCAGCGGCGGACGGGUGAGUAAUGCCUAGGAAUCUGCCUGGUAGUGGGGGAUAACGUCCGGAAACGGGCGCUAAUACCGCAUACGUCCUGAGGGAGAAAGUGGGGGAUCUUCGGACCUCACGCUAUCAGAUGAGCCUAGGUCGGAUUAGCUAGUUGGUGGGGUAAAGGCCUACCAAGGCGACGAUCCGUAACUGGUCUGAGAGGAUGAUUAGUCACACUGGAACUGAGACACGGUCCAGACUCCUACUGGAGGCAGCAGUGGGGAAUAUUGGACAAUGGGCGAAAGCCUGAUCCAGCCAUGCCGCGUGUGUGAAGAAGGUCUUCGGAUUGUAAAGCACUUUAAGUUGGGAGGAAGGGCAGUAAGUUAAUACCUUGCUGUUUUGACGUUACCAACAGAAUAAGCACCGGCUAACUUCGUG
rnacentral:rRNA from 1 species